AUGGAUUCCCUUGCUUUGGAUGAGGAUGAUGCAAAAGUUAACAUAGAUGUGAAUCCUGGCCUAGCAUAUUCUUCAGGUUGUAAUAACACCAGCAAUCAAGAGAAUUCAGAUGAUAAAUCCAGUUGUUCUCUUUCCAACGAUGAUCCUAAACGCAGUGAACUUGCAAAAACUAAUAUUGAGCACUUGAGUCCACAAUUAUCUGCCGGGAACCAAUCAGAAAAAAG
rnacentral:misc_RNA from 1 species